AUGGAAGAAGGUAUAGUUUUUGCAUCCAUGAAUGAGUGUAGAAAUGCACUUGUGACAUACUACAUCAAGGUAGAACGUACUUUCAAAGUUGACAAGAGCGAUCAAGUACGUUACAGAGUGCACUGUCCGACUAAGAGUUGUCCAUGGAGGCUGCUCGCAUCUAAAAUGCGAAAUAGCACUAAUGUUCAGGUCAAAGUGAACCCUUUUAAGCACACAUGCCAGGAAUCAACCCGUAGGAAGGAUACAAUCAGUAGAGCCAAGUCAAGAUGGGUGGUAGAAGAAGUAAAGAAGUGGGUGAAAUAA
rnacentral:rRNA from 1 species